rnacentral:rRNA from 1 species
UACGUAGGGUGCAAGCGUUGUCCGGAAUUAUUGGGCGUAAAGAGCUCGUAGGCGGCCUGUCACGUCGGCUGUGAAAACCCGGGGCUCAACCCCGGGCCUGCAGUCGAUACGGGCAGGCUAGAGUCCGGCAGGGGAGACUGGAAUUCCUGGUGUAGCGGUGAAAUGCGCAGAUAUCAGGAGGAACACCGGUGGCGAAGGCGGGUCUCUGGGCCGGAACUGACGCUGAGGAGUGAAAGCGUGGGGAGCAAACAGG